rnacentral:lncRNA from 1 species
GAGCGGCCGCGGAUCGAUGGACGGCCUCGCAGCGGCCCGGUGCCCGCGAUGCCGGACGAGCAGCGGCUUCUGUGGGAGCCGUUGGCCGGUCGCCUCGUGCGCGACGCCCUGGCCAGCGCUCGCAAACAGCUGAGGGCCGAGGCCCACCUCGCGGCGCGUCUGGUGGCCGCUGCGUUGUCCGCAGCCAUCGGACCUCCGCCAGCAGCGACCGCUUGCGAGCAGGACGCGGCCAAAGCGACCGCAGCGGAGGCGACGUCGUCGCGCAGGCAUCAGAGGACGUCUGCGGCGCCCCCGUGGAGCUUGUUGCCAGCCUGCUGCGCGGUCGUCUAGACAGGACCAAGAUGGUGGCAUCCCGUUUCGACCCCGGAUUCGCCGCUCUUUCUGACGCUGUGCCUUCCUAGCGCCCACUCCUCAAAGCUCCCAGGGUCAGCACCCACCUCAGGCCCCGCACUUUAGCCGAGCCCACACAACCGAGCAACCGGCGGCAGCUGGACCCAUGGUGCACCGCGCAUGGAAACCCAAGUCAGACUUCGUCCAAGGCAACACGAUCGAGCUGUGGUUAAAGAGACUGUGCGAUAACUGACGCCACCUGGCGGGGUGACUAUCGUGGUGCAUCGAACAUGCAAGAAAUAAACAAUGCCCGGCGACAAC